GAAUGAAGGAGGUGAGUAAGGGUUUGGGGUUUUAUUUUUUAUAGUUUUGAGAAUGAAAAUUAUUAAAACAAGGCAAGUGUUUUUUAUUUUUUUUCAAUUGGGGAUAAAGUAGGGAUGACAGAGAAAAGGUUGGGAGUUUCUUUUUUUAUUUUUUUAAUUUUGAGAAUGAAACCCUUAACCUUAAAACUUAGAAUUCAUGGUAUAUAAGAAUAUUUUUGUCUACUGAAACUCAGUACACAUUGCUAAAAUAUACCAACUGAAAAACAG
rnacentral:lncRNA from 1 species